AACUUAUGUAUGGACAAAUAAAUUACCAUUUCAAUAAUCCCUAUAAUAUUUUUAUAUAAUUUAGGAUUCGCUAAAUGGAAACAAAA
rfam:Tetrahymena thermophila SB210 genomic scaffold scf_8254667, whole genome shotgun sequence.